AAGCUCCUGACCAGACGCCUGGUGUGCCAGCACCUUGAUGUUGGAUGUUUUAUGUUGGAUGUUUGAUGUUUUAAGAAGGGGACAGCCUCCAGAACUUUCAGAAAUAAAUGUUUAAGCCACUGAGUGUCUGGUAUUUUGUUCCCGCAGCCCAAGCAGACAGACCGUUCGUGUUGCAAAUGGCUUGCCUGGGAAGGGUCUGCCCAGCACCGAGACCUCUGCUGUGUGUUCCAGGGACGGCAGUGGCCAGAGCCCAGGUCCUGCUCUCACACAGCUCCCGUUCUGGAAGAAGCCCAGAGAGCAGCUUGGGGUGUGCAUCGUCCUGCAGAGGAGACAGAACAGGGUCGUCUGCGGACGAGACUUGGCUCCUGAGAGCCACCGCGCCAUUAUCACACCUGCCGGGACUAACGAGUUCCUUCGUACCCUCCCACACCCGGUCAGUUUUCCGAUGUCCUCACCGAUCUCCAGAGUCUUCCCACAGUUGUUUGAAUCAACGUACAGGGAGCGUGUGGUUGACGUGUCUCAGGUCUCUUGCAAUCUGUGCAGGUAAGACCUCCUGCACUUGGUUCACGGCCUCCUAGAAUAUCCUUUCCAUGCUUCUCCUCCUCCUGCUUCCUGUAAACCCGCGGUUAAACUGAGAGACUUGGUGAGACUCGGUGCUCAUUCCUUGGGCGCGACUCCUCUGUAGGUGAUCUCGUCACCCUCCCAUCCAUCCUGCCGUCCCCCUCGCCCCCAGCCCAACUGUCCUUUCUGCACCGUGGGCGUCGUUGCGAAGCUCAGUCAUACAUCUGAGGAUCUCGUCUCGUUUUAUUUAAGUCAACAUUGUAUCUUUCAGGAAUGCUUUAUAGUUUUCAGAUUUGGCACGUUCUUGUUGAAGCUAUUCUCGGGCUCUUUCUUGACUUUUAUUAUUGUAAGGAUGUCUCUCUCCUUUUGUCAUCUUUAACAGGAUGUUGCCUAAAGGGCUGUACCUGUACCCACGUGUGCCUAAAAUGCCUAUUUUUGUUUCCUAUAUGUCAGUUGUGUAGUCCGCUACAUUACUAAAUUAUCUCAUUAUUUGUAGUACUUUUAAUUUUAGUCUUCGUGUAUUCCAGCUGGAUAACAACAAUACCUGCAAAGGGAGGUAUUGUUACCUGUUCCUUUCUUCUUUUUUUUUUUUUAAAGAUUUUAUUUUAUUUAUUUGACAGAGAGAAAUCACAAGUAGAUGGAGAGGCAGGCAGAGAGAGAGAGGGAAGCAGG
rnacentral:lncRNA from 1 species